rnacentral:rRNA from 2 species
UGGGGGAUAUUGCACAAUGGGGGAAACCCUGAUGCAGCGACGCCGCGUGGAGGAAGAAGGUUUUCGGAUUGUAAACUCCUGUCGUUAGGGACGAUAAUGACGGUACCUAACAAGAAAGCACCGGCUAACUACGUGCCAGCAGCCGCGGUAAAACGUAGGGUGCAAGCGUUGUCCGGAAUUACUGGGUGUAAAGGGAGCGCAGGCGGACCGGCAAGUUGGAAGUGAAAACUAUGGGCUCAACCCAUAAAUUGCUUUCAAAACUGCUGGCCUUGAGUAGUGCAGAGGUAGGUGGAAUUCCCGGUGUAGCGGUGGAAUGCGUAGAUAUCGGGAGGAACACCAGUGGCGAAGGCGACCUACUGGGCACCAACUGACGCUGAGGCUCGAAAGCAUGGGUAGCAAACAGGAUUAGAUACCCUGGUAGUCCAUGCCGUAAACGAUGAUUACUAGGUGUUGGAGGAUUGACCCCUUCAGUGCCGCAGUUAACACAAUAAGUAAUCCACCUGGGAGUACGACCGCAAGGUUGAAACUCAAAGGAAUUGACGGGGGCCCGCACAAGCAGUGGAGUAUGUGGUUUAAUUCGAAGCAACGCGAAGAACCUUACCAGGUCUUGACAUCCGAUGCAUAGCUUAGAGAUAAGUGAAGUCCUUCGGGACAUCGAGACAGGUGGUGCAUGGUUGUCGUCAGCUCGUGUCGUGAGAUGUUGGGUUAAGUCCCGCAACGAGCGCAACCCUUAUUGCCAGUUACUACGAAAGAGGACUCUGGCGAGACUGCCGUUGACAAAACGGAGGAAGGUGGGGAUGACGUCAAAUCAUCAUGCCCUUUAUGACCUGGGCUACACACGUACUACAAUGGCGUUUAACAAAGAGAAGCAAGACCGCGAGGUGGAGCAAAACUCAAAAACAACGUCUCAGUUCAGAUUGCAGGCUGCAACUCGCCUGCAUGAAGUCGGAAUUGCUAGUAAUCGCGGAUCAGCAUGCCGCGGUGAAUACGUUCCC